rnacentral:lncRNA from 1 species
UAUCACAUGAAAAAUAAUAGUGGCCUGGGUAGGCCUGGAACAAACACGUAGCUGUUGGUAUCUCUCCUCACCAUCAGUUCUCAGUACCUGGGCCUUUUGGGUUGCCUUGUCAAUGACUGGAAAGCCAUAAAUUCUUCCAGAGAGUUAUGAAAUGUCAAAACCUUACACACCAAAAUGCAACAGGCAUCUUAGAGGUUACAUGGACAUACAAGAGGUACAAAAGGUUCACAGAAUAUUUCCAAAUUUUCAGCAGUUUCCAGUGGGAGCCUUGAUUGACUCACAUAUACAAAGUGCCCUUCAAAUCCUGAGUUUGCACAGGUGGUGCAUGUUUAUUUCACAUUACACAUUGGGAGGUUCUCAUUAGUGGCUGACAGCUAAUAGUGGAUGCCUGAUGAUUAUCCAGGCUUGUAUUAUUCAGGCUCAGGAUGAUGCAAAGACACAUGUGGAGAUUGCUUUGACCAUCCAUCUAAAGCCACCACAUACACAUGAAUUAAUUAAAAUGAAGUUUUAUGUUUUGCAUCCAUAUAUGCAAGACACAGAUGAAAUAGCUGCAUCUCAAAUGUCCAACUGUGCCUGCUACUUAGCAGAGCCAAAGGUUAAAGGCAAGCCCAGAGUGUCGUAUGUGCAGAAGAGGAAAGGAAGAGGGAGCCAGAUGAAAAAUCCUUAAUGACAGCAUCUCCAAGUACCACAGCAGUACCUUCUAAAGCUGGAAGAUAAAGCUGAUGAGAAGGUUACCAUGACUACAGAAGCGGCAUAUUUGAAUGAAAAUUGAUGUUAAGCUUUUAAAUGCUAAUUGCAGCUGGAAACAGGUGACAACUGAAAUAUCCUUUUUUUUUUUUUUUUUUUUUUUCAACACUUUGCCAUCUAUAAUGAGUAAAAGAAAAGGGUGAAAAUGAUGACAACAUGGAGUUAAAUUAAAACACUAAUAUAUUCUUCAUCAUUAAAGUAUGUCACAUCAUUUACUUGUUCAUAGCAAUAGGCAAACACAUUAGAGAUAACUGACAGUGCAUAAUGGGUGAAAACUAUGUAUAUAACCUAAGUAAUGCAUUUUGGAGGAAUAUACUGAGUAAAAUUAAACAGUCUUCUUUAACUACCAUAGCAAUAGUUUCCAACAGCUCAUAAUCAAGAGGCUAUUAAAACUUAAUAUUCAAAAGCUAUUUUAUAUUCCCAGUGACGAGUAAAUCUCACAAAAGUCUGAAGUUAGGAGUGUUUCUUAUUCCUACCCCAUACAUUAGAAAAUAAAAGUUGAAUAUAUACACA